UAGGCUCGAGGAGGAUCAAAAGACUGAUUCUCGGUCCCCUAAAGUUAGAAAGCUGGUUAGACUGCAAUCUAUGCCUAUGGAAAGAAAAGUCACAAAAAGCGAUCCAUAUGAUCAUAAAGAAAGGCUUGCCUAUACGUCUUUCUAGCGUACGCGCGGUUCCUUUCGAUUGUAGCCUGUCGCUACCUGGAUCAAUCAGCCUAUUCUAGUUCGCCUUGUGUCAUCCGAUUUUAGGGAAUUCAUUGGAUCGUGAAGUUGCUUCACACCUGGCCAUAUCGAGGGAAUGAAAAUGAACUUGCCCUUAAAAAAGGAGAAAAGAACUGGAAUGGGAGAGGAUGGUCAUUGAGAAAGAUGCCUUAACAGGUUGGUCA
rnacentral:lncRNA from 1 species